UGUAAGUAUUUGUCAUUUCUUGGUGUUCGUGCGUAAUUGACGCAUACAAAUUCUUGACAAUACGUGUUGCAUUCUUUUUAAGGAACUUUUCACUGAGUUAAGGUGCGGUGUUAUGUGUAUUGUGAAGGACAUGGCCGAGUGUGUUAUGUAAAUUAUACUUAGGCUAAAUGUUUGAUCGAGUGUGGAAGGUCCGGGAAGUUUAUACUAGGUAGUAGGCCAUGUGUAAGCAUACAUCGUAGGUAUAGGCAGAAGCUAACGAGAGCUCGGGAUUUAUACGCGAGAAAUUCUUCCAGAUACUGAAAGUGGUCUUUAAUCAACAAAAGUCCCGAAUGUAUUUAUUAACGAUGGAGUGGAUGCAGAAAGAGACUGAACGAAAGACCUACCUUUGACUUUUCACUGGAUGAUGGAGCAGAAUUUGUGGAAAUCUUUCUGUCAGCUUCUUCAUCCGUUUCCCUUGUACGACUAGCGCUGCGGCUUCUUGACUCCUUCUGUGUGAAUACAGAUGCGCUUGUUUCACGUCUUGUCCCAACCAACAUGGUGCAGUAAGGUAUUGCAGGAAGAAGUUACAAGAAUAAAGCGAAGAUACAAGAAACUUGCAGCAAACUGGAAGAAAACCACCAGAGGACCAUACACCAACAGUUACCCACUUGUUUUUCUCAACAGUGGACUUUAUUUGCUGGUGUGUACAGUGUAAAGGUGGUGCUAACGAGCCAACUAGUGUCAGUAUUUUUUCUGUUCUGUUUUAAGCCUGUUUGGUGAUGGUAAGCAGAACAUUAUUUACAAUGGAAUCUCCCUGUCCUCAGGAUGAACGUGACGACUACCUACUCGCCCAGCAUUCACAAGACCCUUUCUGCCCUCUACAGUCCGCCUGCAUUCCCUAUCCCCAGGUGACAAUACCCCAAUCGGCUGAUUUCCCUUUGCUCAUGCAAUACCUGGAGAGAUCAUGGAUCAUGCCAGGAUCGGGCAAGAGGAGGAGAGAUGAAGAAAACAGGAAGAAUUAAGGGUUCAACAAGAGAUAGAGGAGGAUGAAAUUCACAGGCAACAAGAAACAGACUGCUACAGCUUCUUUCUGAAAAUGCUAUUCUCCCUUGUACAGGAAGCUCCAGCAUGCCUCAUUUGACACCUGCAGCUCUUACUUUACCACCAGAGGGUGCAGUAACCCCUCCACAGAAAUUAAUUGCCCAGAACCUGCCCCAACCCCUAAAGCCCAGAUGCAACUUUUCUAAUUUUUGGGGAAUGGCAAUGUCGAUGGGAUAAUUAUUCAGUCCUGGUGGAUGUGCCAAAGUUACCCAAAGAGAACUACGAAUCUAGAGAGGAUCUGUCUUGCCUUGGAACACAAAGUCCUCAAGCACACCCUAGACAGAACCCCAGACACUGGAUUGUGUCGAUGAAGUCUUGGAUGCCCAUCAAGUGUCUUCACAACAUGACUGUCGUUGUAAGGAGCUACUCGCCAGCAAACAGUUACAGGGAGUGUCUUUAGACUUAUGUGACUCAAGAACAUUUAAGAGAAAGUACAAGGUUCUGAUAGAUCAGUUUGUGAGCAAACCCAAAUGAAGAUAAUCAUCCUCAUGGGAGAAGGGAUGAAGAACUGACUGAGAAACUCAUAGCCCUCGACACCAACACCUCUCUACAGGAUGUUGUUAACAUAUGUCAUACCUCUGAGGCCACCAGGAAGACCACUGCUGCAAUUCGUGCUUUGCUCUCCUGGAGAGCUGUGUGCCCUCUCAAACUACAGGAAGCAGAAAAAACAUGGAAAGGGUCCCACCUCACCACACCACAGUGUAUUUCAUACCAGUCUUAAGACAAUUGCAUGCAUGGAUCCACAGAGAAGUGUCCAGCAGCAGACAGCACCUGCACCAACUGUAUCCUCAAGGAGAAUUGGACCAAGGCACAGAUGCCUCACUGGACAGGUCCAGUGCUGCCACUGCAACCGACAGGCACAUUAUGACAAGUGCUGCUGGAAGAAGAUAAGGAAUGCCAAACUGUGCUACUUUAGUGCUAAGCCAACAUUUACCGCCCUCUACAGGCAAGAACUCCAGUUGUCGUCGGAUGGGAACACACUAUUCUAUCAAGACACUGAAGCCAAUCUGUUUUCCUCUCAAAUAAUGACAUCAUCCAGGACUCAUACUGGUGUGAACUUCUCAGUUAUAGGCCCUAGCCAUCUUGAUGUUCUGCACAUUCCUGAUAGUGCACUACAACCCCAACUAGUUUCCCUGAUAUUCAUCAUAUAUGCUUGAUGACCCUGCCAUAGGAUCCUUCACAGCCCCACUCACCUUAGCCGAGAGAUCCUGUUCAGUGAGGAUCCAAGUCCAUGAAGGUGUGUGAACACCACCGCUGUCAUAUAGCCACUGCAAAGAGUUGGCCAUUGUUCUGCCAUACUGUCCCAUACCAAUUCUAGAUAAUACCAUGUCAAUGGGUGUUCAGAGCUACCUCUUCAUGUCACCACGUCACCUGCCAAAACCAGACUCCCCCCCCCACCCCCCCCCCCCCAUAAUAGUUCAAGGACAUCCUGAUGCUGUGAACAAUGCACCUCACCAGAUAUAUGCCUUCUCAGAACAAGUCAAGCCAUAGCUCAAGUUCAUGGUAGUAUGGUACCAUUUAGCCAGCCGGUGAUGAACCCUCAGACUGGUGUCACCUGCACAUAAUACUCCCAAAAACAAAAGGCAUUUGAAUCACCGUUGACCUCAAGAACCUCACAACCAGGUAAAAUGCCCAGCUCACCUGUCACCCUCACCAUUAUCUAGCAUCCAUAGUGUGGAUCAAAAAGUAAAGUUCUUCAUCACUGCAGAUGCUGUGCAUGGGUACUGACCAAUGCAACUUGCAGAGGAGGAUCAAAAGUUAACUACAGACAUCACAUCCUAUGGCCAAUUCCAGCAUUGCAGAGGUCCAAUGGGAUUUGCAGCCACAUUAGAUGCCUAUUGCCUUCAAGGAGACAAGACUGCAAGAUGCUGAGAAUUGCAUCAAGCUGGUCAAUGACAUCAGCUGUUCAAUAAGGAUUUCCCCAGCUAUCUUUGAGAUGCUGAAAAGGUGCCCCAAGUUUGGCAUCAUACUUAACAAGGACAAGUUUGCGGUUGCCUCCUCCAAGUGUUACUGUAUGCAUAAAUUGGGUCUCCAAAACUGCACUUCAGCAGAACCCGACAAAGAAGCAGCAAUCAAGGACUUCCCUUUGUUUGUUCAUGGGGUCAGUGAACCAAAAGGCAGACUUAAUGCCUGAGAUAGCUUAUGCAGCUCAGUUUCAGACACCUUAUGAGCCUCAAGCUUGCAUUUUUAUAGACCGUGGACCAGGACACAGCAUUUCACAGAGUGAAGACUGCCCUGGCUAGCCCACCAGUCAUAUUGCCUCCUUUGAUCUAGCCCUCACAGUUAUCCUAAAGAGACACUUACUAACUAAACGGACUAGGAUUAUGCCCUUCUACAGUACUGUGGCUAUGGAAUAAGACUCAGUUUAGUACAGGCAGUCCCCGGGUUAUGAUGGGGUCGGCUAACGACGUUCCGAGGUUAAGGCGCUUCUCAGUUAUAUUCAUCAGAAAUUAUUUCCAGGGUUAUGACGCAUGUUCCAGGGUUACGACGCCUACAACGCUGAUCUGCCACAAGAAAUAGGACACCAAAAAUGCAAAAUAAUAAAUAUUUUUAAGGUUUUCUUGAUGAAAAGUGUAAUAAGAAUGCAGUUUACAUAGUUUUCAAUGCACCCAAAGGAUUAAAAGUAAGGAUUACUUACGAUUUUUAUGAUGUUCCGGCUUACGACAAUUUUCAUGUUACAACGCGUCUCAAGUACGGAACCCCUGUCGUAACCUGGGGACUGCCUGUACAGUGUGGCUUUCAUUUCCUUAGACAAUGAAACGUGCUACGCCUCAGCUGAAUUGGAGGUAUUAGCAAUAACCUGUGUUUAUGUUCAAAGGCAAACUGAACCUGAAAGGCCUCCCAACAUUUUAUGUUGAUGACAGACCAUCGACCAUCGCCCUCUGCAGGUUGUCACCGGUUUUAACCAAAACUUGGUGAUAACUGGAUAAAGGUGCCUCCUUUAGGUAUGUUAUGGCGCUAAACAAGGCCCAUAAACCCAGAUCGCCAUUAACAGUCCGUUGAUAAUAGGGGACUGUCUUUAGUGCCAAUUCUCAACCAUUACACCCUGGAUGCAGUCGAGAAUCCCUGUUUGCAGUGUCUCGAGAAGGAAGUCUCACUGUAUGUUCACAGCUGUGUGGUGUGCCAGCAACCAGCGCAGCAUACCCGACAGUCACAUGUCUCCAUCAGCAGCUCUCACCACAAGACAAAUCCGACUAUGUAUGUUGAGGCUGGGACAUAAAUCAGGACUAUCACCAUCAAUUGCGCAACACCCCAAGGGGAUGAUGCCUCACCAAAGGAUACCAACAGGAUUAUUAAAGACUGUGUUCCAGCAAGGGAGAGUAUACCCACCUUUGAGACUGUGUGCCCUCAGUAUUUCCUACAAAUCGUUCCUCCCAUUCUGGAAACUACGGGACAGCCUCUCAGUUGAUGCUGAACUUGUACUUUAUGGAGCAAGGAUUGUUAGUUCCUACCACCCUUCGCUGCCAAACUAUCCCACUCCAUCACUGUUACAGAGGAAUACCCACAAAGCAAUGGGCAUGACAGACUUGUUACUGGCCAGGAUCAACUCCGACCUGGCAAGGUUUGCAAGCUUGGGCAGUACUUUAAGGUUUUACAACCUAGCCUCCAGCAGAAACCUCUUCAAAACAAAGACCACUCCAUGAGGCCCUUAGAAUUUGUGUCGGUGGACUUCUCCAGUGUUGCAGGGAAGUCAUUCAUCCUUGUGGCCAACAGGCUUUCUAACUGGCCUGUGAUUGCCCUCAUGCUACAAUAACAAUCUUCUGCAGAUAUUUCAGGGAGGUCAGUGUACCAUGUUACCUCAGGACAAAUGGUGGUUCAUUCACCAGUCAUGAAUUCAGCGAUUUCUUGGAGUAAUGGGGAUCUUGUUACUUCCCUACACUACCCACAGUCCAAUGGCCAUGCUAUAGCGCCUCAGUGGCAUGGUCGGUAUGGUGUUGGUGUGCCACGUUAGUGGCCGCAAGUUCGAUUCUUGGGCAUUCCAUUGGGGGGGUGAGAAAUGUGUAUUUCUGGAGACAGAAGUUCACUCUCAACGUAGUUCGGAAGUCACGUAAAGCCGUUGGUCCCGUUGCUGAAUAACUACUGGUUUCAUGCAACAUAAAAACACCAUACAAUAAACAAACAAACAAUGACCAUGCUGAGGCUGCUGUGAAGCAUCUUAUAUUGAAGACAGCGCCCUCCAGUAACUUAGACUGUGAAGAAUUUGACUGUGGCCUCCUGGAGUUAGCGAACACUCCCCUGCACAAAUCCUACAUAGCCACCCAACUACUCCUGUAUGCCUGCUCAUCCUUAUUCAUUCUUGGAAGAAUGGCUCAAGAAAGCCAAGGACUGAGAUCACCAUGCCGGUGGCAGAGUUGAACUUGUACAAAAGUCGUAUAAUCCAAUAUGUAUGUCUUUUACCCAGGCUAGAAGUUGGACAGUCAGUCAAGAUCCAGUGUCCAACUUCUCACUGUUAAGGUUGGGAUUAUCAUGAGCCAUGGCAGGCAAAGGACUAUGAAGUACAUCUCCCCAGCCUACAGGUAUACUGAAGGAACAACCGCUUCCUGUACCCAGUACAAGCUCCUGGCGCUGAACAUCUACCUCAAAUUUCUGUGAACCUUCGCAUGGACACUUAAAGAGUCCAACAGUCCUCCUACAGCCCUACAUAGGUCUCCCAAAUAAAGAAUCUGAUCGAGAUGGGACUAUGAGCGUGAAGGGGAAGGGAGGUGUAGAUAAUAUAAUCUAUGUAACAUGUAUUUGUCAUUAUACAUAUAAUGUAUUCUUGUCCCAUGUAUAUAACUUAUAUUGUAAGUGGCAACCAAACAAAUCCGAAUCCAAUGUCUAGCAGUACGCCACUUCCCCUCUCUGAGUUCGGUUGUUGAAUUGUAACCUUGCCUAAUAAAGA